UGGCAUGCAAGUCGAACGGCAAAGGUCGCAAGACCCUGUAAGUGGCGAAAGGGUGAGUAGUACUCGGGCAAUCUGCCCCUGGGACCGGGAUAGCCGCGGGAAACUGCGGGUAAUACCGGACGGGCUCACGAGAGCUGAGGCUUUCGCGAGUAAAGGGAGGGGAUCCGCAAGGACCUUCCGCCCAGUGAGGAGCUCGAGCCCUAUCAGGUAGUUGGCGGGGUAACGGCCCACCAAGCCUACGACGGGUAUCCGGACUGAGAGGUUGGCCGGACACACUGGCACUGAGACACUGGCCAGACUCCUACGGGAGGCUGCAGUCGAGAAUUUUCCGCAAUGGGGGCAACCCUGACGGAGCGACGCCGCGUGAAGGAAGAAGGCCUUCGGGUUGUAAACUUCUGUCACGACUUACGAAUGCAUCAGGCGUAACAACCUGGUGUUGACGAAGGGUCGGAAGGAAGCCACAGCUAACUUCGUGCCAGCAGCUGCGGUAAGACGAAGGUGGCAAGCGUUGUUCGGAUUCACUGGGCAUAAAGGGCGCGUAGGCGGUUCCAUAAGCGGCAUGUGAAAGCCCCCGGCUCAACCGGGGAAGUGCGUGCCGGACUGUGGUUCUAGAGGGUGGUAGGGGGGACUGGAACUCUCGGUGGAGCGGUGAAUUGCGUAGAUAUCGAGAGGAACACCGGUGGCGAAGGCG
rnacentral:rRNA from 1 species